rnacentral:rRNA from 1 species
GACGAACGCUGGCGGCGUGCUUAGCACAUGCAAGUCGAACGGAAAGGCCCUGCUUUUGUGCGGUGCUCGAGUGGCGAACGGGUGAGUAACACGUGAGUAACCUGCCCUUGACUUUGGGAUAACUUCAGGAAACUGGGGCUACUCCCAGAUAGGAUCUCCCGCUGCAUGGUGGGGGUUGGAAAGUUUCGGCGGUUGGGGAUGGACUCGCGGCUUAUCAGCUUGUUGGUGGGGUAGUGGCUUACCAAGGCGUUGACCGGUAGCCGGCCUGAGAGGGUGACCGGCCACACUAGGCCUGAGAUACGGCACAGACUCCUACGGGAGGCAGCAGUGGGGAAUAUUGUACAAUGGGCGGGAGCCUGAGGCAGCAACGCCGCGUUCGGGAUGACGGCCUUUGGGUUGUAAACCGCAUUCGCCUGUGACGAAGCGUUAGUGACGGUAAUGGGUAAAGAAGCACCGGCUAACUACGUG